CGUGGAACAGCGGUAGAACGUGAGUUUUCCAUCCGUGAGGUCCCUGGUUCGAAUCCGGGU
rnacentral:tRNA from 1 species